AGUGAACGCUGGCGGUAGGCCUAACACAUGCAAGUCGAACGGCAGCACAGUAAGAGCUUGCUCUUACGGGUGGCGAGUGGCGGACGGGUGAGGAAUACAUCGGAAUCUACUUUUUCGUGGGGGAUAACGUAGGGAAACUUACGCUAAUACCGCAUACGACCUACGGGUGAAAGCAGGGGAUCUUCGGACCUUGCGCGAUUGAUUGAGCCGAUGUCGGAUUAGCUAGUUGGCGGGGUAAAGGCCCACCAAGGCGACGAUCCGUAGCUGGUCUGAGAGGAUGAUCAGCCACACUGGAACUGAGACACGGUCCAGACUCCUACGGGAGGCAGCAGUGGGGAAUAUUGGACAAUGGGCGCAAGCCUGAUCCAGCCAUCCCGCGUGGGUGAAGAAGGCCUUCGGGUUGUAAAGCCCUUUUGUUGGGAAAGAAAAGCAGCAGGUUAAUACCCCGCUGUUCUGACGGUACCCAAAGAAUAAGCACCGGCUAACUUCGUG
rnacentral:rRNA from 1 species